rfam:Brachypodium distachyon strain Bd21 chromosome 3, whole genome shotgun sequence.
AUCGUACUUCCUCCGUCCAACAAAGGAUGUCUCAACUUUGACUAAAUUUGAAUGCAUCUAUACACUAAGUCAUGUCUAGAUAACAUCCAAAUUUUGACAAACUUGAGACAUCUUUUGUUGGACGGAGGGAGUAUGAC